rnacentral:rRNA from 1 species
UACGAAGGGUGCAAGCGUUGUUCGGAAUUACUGGGCGUAAAGCGUGCGUAGGCGGUUUGAUAAGUUGGGAGUGAAAUCCCGGAGCUCAACUCCGGAAUUGCUUUCAAAACUGUCAAGCUAGAAUAUGGUAGGGGACAGUGGAAUUCCUAGUGUAGAGGUGAAAUUCGUAGAUAUUAGGAGGAACACCGGUGGCGAAAGCGACUGUCUGGACCAUUAUUGACGCUGAGGCACGAAAGCGUGGGGAGCAAACAGG